CGGCGUGUUGGCGGAGUGGUCUAACGCGCUAGACUUGAAUUUCGACUUCGGUUGUAAAUCAGUAAUCUAGUUCCUUCGGGAGCGCAUGUUCGAACCAUGCACACGUCGA